AUCCAAAUGACGAGUCCCAGAUAAAAUGAAAAGCGCGUCCUGGAU
rnacentral:hammerhead_ribozyme from 1 species